rnacentral:rRNA from 1 species
GAUGAACGCUGGCGGCGUGCCUAAUACAUGCAAGUCGAACGCUUUGUCUUUAAUUGAUAUGAAGAGCUUGCUCUGAUUUGAUUUUAUCUGACAAAGAGUGGCGAACGGGUGAGUAACACGUGGGUAACCUACCUCUUAGCAGGGGAUAACAUUUGGAAACAAGUGCUAAUACCGUAUAACACUAACAACCGCAUGGUUGUUAGUUGAAAGAUGGUUCUGCUAUCACUAAGAGAUGGACCCGCGGUGCAUUAGCUAGUUGGUAAGGUAAUGGCUUACCAAGGCGAUGAUGCGUAGCCGAGUUGAGAGACUGAUCGGCCACAAUGGGACUGAGACACGGCCCAUACUCCUACGGGGGGCAGCAGUAGGGAAUCUUCCACAAUGGGCGCAAGCCUGAUGGAGCAACGCCGCGUGUGUGAUGAAGGGUUUCGGCUCGUAAAACACUGUUAUAAGAGAAGAACGACAUUGAGAGUAACUGUUCAGUGUGUGACGGUAUCUUACCAGAAAGGAACGGCUAAAUACGUG